AUCCGCAGACUCCCGAGUCCUGACUCAUCCUGCGUUGAUCAAUUCCACAGUCUUUCCUCCCAAGAAACAGAUUCACAGAAGAAGGCCGCAGAGAGGGAGAGAGAAAAGAGGCGUAAUCUUAUCAAUUAGAUACACAGAGAAUCAAGAUAAUCCUUUUUUAGCCUCAGAAAGAGAAGCCGAUCUGAUCGCUCUUUUAUUAUAAUUGAAAUUCACCCAAAAUUACUAUAAAGAAAUGGGAACGCUUCAGACUUGGAGAAAAGCCUAUGGCGCUCUCAAAGAUUCCACCUCAUGUCAACAGCGACUAUGCGGAAUUGGAUGUCGCUAUAGUCAAAGCAACCAACCACGUCGAGUGUCCACCCAAAGAGAGGCACCUUAUUGAUUGCCACGUCAGCAAUUCGUCCUCGUGCUGAUGUUGCUUAUUGUAUUCAUGCUCUUUCCCGCCGAUUGGCCAAGACCCAUAAUUGGACGGUUGCAUUGAAAACAUUGAUUGUCAUCCAUAGAUUA
rnacentral:misc_RNA from 1 species